rnacentral:rRNA from 1 species
CCUACGGGGGGCAGCAGUGAGGAAUAUUGGUCAAUGGACGAGAGUCUGAACCAGCCAAGUAGCGUGAAGGCUGACUGCCCUAUGGGUUGUAAACUUCUUUUAUAUAGGAAUAAAAUGUUCCACGUGUGGGAUUUUGUAUGUACCAUAUGAAUAAGGAUCGGCUAACUCCGUGCCAGCAGCCGCGGUAAUACGGAGGAUCCGAGCGUUAUCCGGAUUUAUUGGGUUUAAAGGGAGCGUAGGUGGAUUGUUAAGUCAGUUGUGAAAGUUUGCGGCUCAACCGUAAAAUUGCAGUUGAAACUGGCAGUCUUGAGUACAGUAGAGGUGGGCGGAAUUCGUGGUGUAGCGGUGAAAUGCUUAGAUAUCACGAAGAACUCCGAUUGCGAAGGCAGUUCACUGGACUGCAACUGACACUGAGGCUCGAAAGUGUGGGUAUCAAACAGGAUUAGAUACCCCAGUAGUC